rnacentral:rRNA from 1 species
CGUCCUGCCGGCGACCGGCGUACGGGUGAGUAACGCGUAUCCAACCUGCCCUUUACUAUGGGACAGCCCGUCGAAAGGCGGAUUAAUACCGUAUGUUGUCAUGUUGAUGCAUAUUUUCAUGACCAAAGGCUUCGGCCGGUAAAGGAUGGGGAUGCGUCUGAUUAGCUUGCCGGCGGGGUAACGGCCCACCGGGGCGACGAUCAGUAGGGGUUCUGAGAGGAAGGUCCCCCACAUUGGAACUGAGACACGGUCCAAACUCCUACGGGAGGCAGCAG